rnacentral:rRNA from 1 species
GGUUGAUGUACAAUUGAAGAAAAAGACGAAGCACAGAGAGAGAUCUUCUAGCUACACACUGUUGCCGUCGAUCCAGCAAAAAUGUGCGGCAUACUGGCGGUGCUGGGCUGCGCCGAUGACACCCAGGGGAAGAGAGUGCGCGUGCUCGAGCUCUCGCGCAGGCUCAAGCACCGCGGCCCCGACUGGAGCGGCAUGCACCAGGUCGGCGACUGCUACCUCUCCCACCAGCGCCUCGCCAUCAUCGACCCUGCCUCUGGCGACCAGCCCCUCUACAACGAGGACAAGUCCAUCGUCGUCACUGUGAAUGGAGAGAUCUACAACCAUGAACAGCUCCGGGCGCAGCUCUCCUCCCACACGUUCAGGACAGGCAGCGACUGCGAGGUCAUCGCGCACCUGUACGAGGAGCACGGGGAGAACUUCAUCGACAUGCUGGAUGGUGUCUUCUCCUUCGUCUUGCUCGACACACGCGACAACAGCUUCAUUGCUGCCCGUGAUGCCAUUGGCGUCACACCCCUGUAUAUUGGCUGGGGAAUUGAUGGGUCGGUGUGGAUAUCAUCAGAGAUGAAGGGCCUGAAUGAUGAUUGUGAGCACUUUGAGAUCUUUCCUCCUGGCCAUCUCUACUCCAGCAAGCAGGGAGGCUUCAAGAGAUGGUACAACCCACCUUGGUUCUCCGAGGUCAUUCCUUCAGUGCCAUAUGAUCCACUUGCUCUCAGGAAGGCUUUUGAAAAGGCUGUCAUCAAGAGGCUUAUGACGGACGUUCCAUUCGGUGUUCUACUCUCUGGUGGCCUAGACUCAUCAUUGGUUGCAGCCGUUACAGUUCGUCACCUGGCAGGGACAAAGGCUGCAAAGCGCUGGGGGACUAAGCUUCAUUCUUUUUGUGUCGGACUUGAGGGGUCACCUGAUCUGAAGGCCGCAAAGGAGGUAGCCAAUUACCUGGGGACCAUGCACCAUGAGUUCACCUUCACUGUUCAGGUAGACGGCAUUGAUGCAAUUGAGGAUGUGAUUUAUCACACCGAAACAUAUGAUGUGACGACAAUCAGGGCAAGCACGCCAAUGUUCCUGAUGUCACGCAAGAUCAAGUCACUUGGCGUCAAGAUGGUCAUCUCUGGUGAGGGUUCCGAUGAGAUUUUCGGAGGGUACCUCUACUUCCACAAGGCACCCAACAAAGAGGAGCUCCACCGUGAGACAUGUCAAAAGAUCAAAGCUCUGCAUCAGUACGAUUGCUUGAGGGCCAACAAGGCAACAUCUGCAUGGGGACUCGAAGCACGUGUGCCAUUCCUGGACAAGGAGUUUAUCAAUGAGGCAAUGAGCAUAGAUCCUGAGUGGAAGAUGAUCCGACCUGAUCUUGGAAGAAUUGAGAAGUGGGUGCUGAGGAAAGCAUUUGAUGACGAGGAGCAACCAUUCCUGCCAAAGCACAUUCUGUACAGGCAGAAAGAGCAGUUCAGUGAUGGUGUUGGCUAUAGCUGGAUUGAUGGCCUAAAGGCUCACGCAGAAUCAAAUGUGACCGAUAAGAUGAUGUCAAAUGCAAAGUUCAUCUACCCGCACAACACCCCGACUACAAAAGAGGCCUACUGUUACAGGAUGAUAUUUGAGAGGUUCUUCCCCCAGAACUCGGCGAUCCUGACGGUGCCAGGCGGGCCAAGCGUUGCAUGCAGCACGGCAAAGGCGGUAGAGUGGGAUGCUCAGUGGUCGGGGAACCUGGAUCCCUCAGGGAGAGCAGCACUUGGAGUCCAUCUCUCGGCCUAUGAACAGGAGCAUCUCCCAGCAACCAUCUUGACAGGAACCAGCAAGAAGCCGAGGAUGAUCGAGGUUGCAGCGCCUGGUGUCGCAAUUGAGAGUUGAUGGUGUCCUGUCCUGCUUGCCGUUUCUGAUAAGAAAUAAGAUGUACCUGGUCUUGCCAUUAGAGUGGUGCAGACCUAAGGUUUGAGUGAAGAUUGUGCAUUAAUGUAUCUAUUGUUCUUAUGAAAUCGGAGACCGGAUGAUUUCUAAUCCUUUUCUGGCAACUUCCAUCAAAACAUUAUUGCAUGAUGGUUAUUAUUUGACAUAAACGGCUACAU